GUGCGAGACCGAUAGCGAACAAGUACCGUGAGGAAAAGAUGAAAAGAACUUUGAAAAGAGAGUUAAAGAGUACCUGAAACUGCUGAAAGGGAAGCGAAUCGUAUCCAGUGUCUAUAAUCUGCGGCAUAUUUCAUUGGCGGCGGUGCGCGUGCUUUUGCGUCGGAAGCGGCUUUUGUUGCUCUGUGCUUUUGCUGUGCGUGGUGUUGCUGGUGCCCUGUGUUGCGGUGGGACGUCAGAGUCAGUUUGUAUGCUGCGGGAAAUGGCUGCCGAGGAGGUAGGUCGAGAUUUCGGUCUUGGCUGUUAUAUCUUGGUGGUUUGUUGUCGUGGUUGAGACUGAGGUGCCUACAAUGUGCUUUUGAGUGUACCGGGUUCUCAUUUGGUGGACUGUUUGGAUUGCUUGCUAUGCUUGUGGUUUUUUCAUCGGGUGAUUGAGUCUGGUGGUAACUUGUUGCUGUUCGGGACUUUG
rnacentral:rRNA from 2 species